UUUCAAUUUUUCGGGGAUGGGGCCCUUCAUGAUGCAGCAGAUGCCCGACGAGAGGAGAGGACACAGUUAUGGCACCAUGGUACAUCCGAGCUUUCCCCCGAAUGUUGCGACGUCGUCGCACACUCUCAUACACAACGGACCUCCUCAGUCGCAAAGUCAACACUAUAUGCCUGCUUCAAGCUCUAAUCCAAAGUAGUGGGCCUUGCAAGAAUCCUGUUAUUUUUCUUUAUAACCGAUGUGAUUUGACUAUUUAGUUAUUUUGAUAAUAUCGUGUUUAUAGGUAUUUCUUCACUAUCCCCACCACUUUGGUUUAUUUAUUACCUACGAGAGUUGAUAUUAAGUUGGGGACAGACGUGCGUGCAGUGCAGACAGUGAAGAGAUUAUUAAGUAAUAUUGUAGACUUGAUGUAAAGAAAAAUAUGUAUAUGAAUAAAUUUUAUCAAGAAAUUAUUAUUGAAGUGUAAA